GUCCCCUCGCCCUCCUUGGAUUGCAGCAAGGAAAGAGGUGUGUCUUCCGCAGAAAAAUGUGCAUGUUCUUUUAGAUGUGUGGCCUCCGAGCAAGGUAUUUAGCCUGCCUCUAUGUGCUCACCUGGAAAAUGGGGUGAUGAAGAAGAUGAUGAUGAUAAUGGGAACUCCCUCUUGGAGCUGCUGUGCAGAUGAAGAAAAGUGGGCAAGUUUUGAGUUCAACGUGAGGCCUCAAGGAUGUGUGCAACCCAUGGUACUUGAAUUUACUUAUUGACUGUUUUUUGGAAAUCCUUAUUUCCCAAAACUCGUGGAAGGAGCUGACUUCUGGCAGGAAACGUGGAACUGGCAGCGUGUCGUGCAAGCAUCUGCAAUCCCAGUCCUGAGCUGGACUUCUCAGAGAGGCUGGGCAUUAUUUAUGGAGAUGUCGGAGUGACAGGGGGAACUUCUGGCCAGGAACUGCCGGUGGUGUCACAUCCUUAACCUGGCUGACAUCGGAACACCCUGGGGGGAGCAUUUCUCCAGGAAAGGAUGGUGGGUCAGGA
rnacentral:lncRNA from 1 species